AUUGAACGCUGGCGGCAGGCCUAACACAUGCAAGUCGAGCGGAUGAAGGGAGCUUGCUCCUGGAUUCAGCGGCGGACGGGUGAGUAAUGCCUAGGAAUCUGCCUGGUAGUGGGGGAUAACGUCCGGAAACGGGCGCUAAUACCGCAUACGUCCUGAGGGAGAAAGUGGGGGAUCUUCGGACCUCACGCUAUCAGAUGAGCCUAGGUCGGAUCAGCUAGUUGGUGGGGUAAAGGCCUACCAAGGCGACGAUCCGUAACUGGUCUGAGAGGAUGAUCAGUCACACUGGAACUGAGACACGGUCCAGACUCCUACGGGAGGCAGCAGUGGGGAAUAUUGGACAAUGGGCGAAAGCCUGAUCCAGCCAUGCCGCGUGUGUGAAGAAGGUCUUCGGAUUGUAAAGCACUUUAAGUUGGGAGGAAGGGCAAUAAGUUAAUACCUUGCUGUUUUGACGUUACCAACAGAAUAAGCACCGGCUAACUUCGUG
rnacentral:rRNA from 1 species